rnacentral:rRNA from 1 species
GACAGAGGUGCCGAGCGUUAGGCGGAAUCACUGGGCUUAAAGCGUGUGUAGGCGGGCCGUUAAGUAUCUUGUGAAAUCCCCCGGCUCAACCGGGGAAUGGCUGGAUAUACUGGCGGUCUUGAGCGAUCUAGGGGCAGAUGGAACAAGUGGUGGAGCGGUGAAAUGCGUAGAUAUCGGGAGGAACACCUGUGGCGAAAGCGGCUCACUGGACCACAACUGACGCUGAUGCGCGAAAGCUAGGGGAGCAAACAGG